CCUACGGGAGGCAGCAGUGGGGAAUAUUGGACAAUGGGGGCAACCCUGAUCCAGCCAUGCCGCGUGUGUGAAGAAGGCCCUCGGGUUGUAAAGCACUUUCAGUGAGGAAGAACGCCUGGUGGUUAAUACCCAUCAGGAAAGACAUCACUCACAGAAGAAGCACCGGCUAACUCCGUGCCAGCAGCCGCGGUAAUACGGAGGGUGCGAGCGUUAAUCGGAAUUACUGGGCGUAAAGCGCGCGUAGGUGGCUUGAUAAGCCGGUUGUGAAAGCCCCGGGCUCAACCUGGGAACGGCAUCCGGAACUGUCAAGCUAGAGUGCAGGAGGGGAAGGUAGAAUUCCCGGGGUAGCGGUGAAAUGCGUAGAGAUCGGGAGGAAUACCAGUGGCGAAGGCGGCCUUCUGGACUGACAAUGACACUGAGGUGCGAAAGCGUGGGUAGCAAACAGGAUUAGAUACCCUUGUAGUC
rnacentral:rRNA from 1 species